rnacentral:lncRNA from 1 species
UGAUAAACAGGGCAUCUGAGGCAAAAAGAGAGACGGGGCAUCUGAAACUCAACCUUUUGUUUCCUGCGCAAAUUCUACACAUUUGCAUAGCAAUCAUUAAAUGGCUGAGCACUCUUAGCAUUGGUCUUAGAUCAUGGCAGCAUCAAAUAGAUGAAAAGUUAUACUGGAAACACAAGCCAUACAUCACAAUCUAGCAGACACAAGCUCUCAUGUACGCAAGAAGAGCAACUGCAACUAGUAAACAACAAAAGAGAUUUCUUUAUCAAGUACAUAGCCCUUGGCAUAUCAGAAAGCAUAAUUUCCUCACACUUGAAAUAUCGUAUUUUGCUUGAAGAUACUUUAUUUCUCGAUUUAAACAUGAUAUCAUUUAAGACAUCAAAAAAUCUAAUUGCACUAAAAAGUAGCAAUUCCCAGAACUGUUAAUCUUAGGGCAAAUAGAAAGAAUACAGAAAUGUCAAACAAGUCACAAAGAAUCUAAGAAAAAGGAAAUAAAGCAGAGAAAGAAAGAAUUAAUAUAAACUUGACUUCUUGACACUUUCAGAAACUUCGCUUUCUUCCAUUAGACUAGGAAAAGGUCAGAAAAGAUGGAAAAUCAGUUCCACAAACCUCCAUUUUUUUUUUUCAUUAUGCACGGGUCACAUAAAGGGAGCAUAUUGAAAACUUCUCUGCAACUUCUGCAGCCAACAAUCCAGUCCUCUACCACUGUUCAAGAAGAACAUCAAGGGAGCAUAUAUGAGAUGGAAAAUCAGUUCCACAAACCUCCAUUUUUAUUUUUUUUUCAUUAUGCACAGGUCACAUAAAGGGAGCAUAUUGAAAACUUCUCUGCAACUUCUGCAGCCAACAAUCCAGUCCUCUACCACUGUUCAGAAAAGAUGGAAAAUCAGUUCAACAAACCUCCAUUUUUUUUUUUCAUUAUGCACGGGUCACAUAAAGGGAGCAUAUUGAAAACUUCUCUGCAACUUCUGCAGCCAACAAUCCAGUCCUCUACCACUGUUCAAGAAGAACAUCAAGAGCUUGUCUUGUUGCCUAUGAAAGCACAAGGAGAAAAACAACACAAGCAUAUCAAAUUUAGAAGCUCUGUCAGAGAGACAUUGUCCUUCAGUGUAGUUUCAACAUAAAUUCUGAAAAUGCAUUUCAUGAGAAAUGUCUUCUGCUUCAAGCUAACUGAUUGAGAGUAUAUAUGAGAUUGAUCAAGGCAUAUACUACGUAAAUUCAACAAGUUUUGCUCACUUGAAGUUGCUGAGAAUCUCACAUGGAAAAAGAGGCUUCUAUUGGAUUGGCCACCUCCAACUUUUCUAACAGUAUUUUCAUAUAUACCCCUGUAAGAAAGGAACCUUUGUUUUUAUUAUGCUCCACAAGAUAACAAAAGGGCCAAUAUUCUUCGCACCAACUAUUUUUACUGUCCACGAAGUCAUUUAUAGUAGUGAACUGCACCACAGAAGAGAUGAUCUCUACCAGAAACUAGGCUUAAAUAUGUGUAAAUAUGGUCAUUGUAUGAAGAAAUCUCCCAAGGAGCAGGUUCUUACAUCUUAAAAGGUAAUCAAUGUUCACAGUGCAUUAUUAUACCAAAUAAGUAUACCAAUAGUCUAGUUGACAUAUAGCCUAAGAAAACAGUGUUAGGAACCUCACAAAAG